AUGCCUUAGUUGAACAAGACCCGUUUCUAUAUGAUUGCCACUCUGUACUCCUGAGUACUAAGUUGACAGGAAACAAAACCUGGUGUAUGAAUCAUGACCCUGUGAUCAGAGCAUGUUAACAGCUUUGGUUCUUGGACCAUCAAAAAGUAGAAGAUAGUUCUCAGUCAGUACUUAAAGACAAAAAACAGUUU
rnacentral:sRNA from 1 species